CCCCAGUUUGAUCAGAAAAGUGCGAUAAAAAAUCCCCUGCAAAUCCUGAGAAGGAGCAUCCUUCCUCUAAGAUCAUUCAGAUAAUAAUAAUCUUUGCUACCCUCAAUUCAAUUGGUCGAUUUUGGUUUGUCGUCAUUUCUCGAGAGAAGGAAGGCUAUAGCUAUGGUGGCCGAAGCAGACCUUACGUGUCAACGGAGCAACCCUGUGUUGGAUGUUCAGUAUUUGCCUAACGGGGCAAAUAUACGUGAGAUCGAAGAUGCCGCCGCCAUCACGCCUCCGAGUUUUGACAGAGUUCGUGCUUCUCCAUUAGUGUCUGCCGAGUUACUCAGCCCACAAGAAGAUAUUAAAGCUGCUGACAGAAUAUCAAAUGAUGCUCUUGAUUCUGCUGUUCUUCAAUUUGUCCCUAGCAUCCGCUCCGGCAGUUUUGCCAACAUUGGCCCCCGGAGAUACAUGGAAGAUGAACAUAUAAAGAUAGAUGAUCUAUCUUCUCACAUGGGAUCACUAUAUACAUUUCCUGAACCAAGUGCCUUCUACGGGGUGUUUGAUGGUCAUGGAGGACCUGAAGCUGCAGCUUAUAUCCAGAAAAAUGUUAUGAGAUUCUUCUUUGAAGAUGUUAGCUUCCCCCAGACAUCUGAAGUAGAUAAUGUUUUUUUAAAAGAGGCGGAGAACUCCCUCAGAAAAUCAUUUCUAUUGGCUGACUUAGCUUUGGCUGAUGAUUGCAGUGUGAGCAACUCAUCAGGGACCACGGCUCUUAUUGCCUUGAUAUUUGGAAGGCGUCUAAUGGUGGCCAAUGCUGGUGAUUGCCGAGCAGUUCUCUGUCGUAAAGGAGAGGCAAUUGACAUGUCUCAAGAUCACAGGCCUGUUUAUCCUUCAGAGCGGAGGCGAGUUGAGGAAUUAGGUGGUCACGUAGAUGAUGGUUAUCUUAACGGGGUUUUGUCAGUUUCUCGAGCCCUUGGGGACUGGGAUAUGAAGUUUCCACGUGGUUCUCCCUCACCUUUGAUUGCAGAGCCUGAGUUUCGUCAAGUGGUUAUAACAGAGGAUGAUGAGUUCCUUAUCAUAGGUUGUGAUGGAAUUUGGGAUGUUAUGACAAGUCAGCAGGCAGUUAGCCUUGUCCGUAGAAGCCUGAGGCGGCAUUAUGACCCAGAGCGAUGUGCCAGGGAUCUGGUCAUGGAGGCACUACGCCUUAACACGUUUGAUAAUCUUACAGUGAUUGUUGUGUGCUUUUCUUCUAAUUCUAUUGAUCACAGCGAGCCAUCCCCUUCUCAUCAGAGGAAAUUGAGGUGCUGUAGCCUUUCUGCAGAGGCGCUUUGUAGCUUGAGGAACUUUUUGGAAGGCAAUGCAAGCAAUUGAACGCGCGAAUCCAGGCUCUUGUGCGUGAGGCUUGUACAAAGAAUGAGUUAUACUUUAGACGAAAAUGUUGAGGAAUGCCAAAGAACGAAGUUAUUCUGGUUGGGAGGGACUCCAGCAUUUAGCAAGCAGCUGCCUUUGCAUGGAAGAGGGAGGAAUCAGGAAAAGAAAUAGGGAGGGUGGUGGUGGUAAGCAAAAACUGGGGGAGCGAGCAAGCAGGCUUUGGAAUUUUCAAGCGCAUAAAUCACAGCGUCCACUUUUCCGCAUUUUAUUCCCCUUUCUCCG